rnacentral:rRNA from 1 species
CCUACGGGGGGCAGCAGUGAGGAAUAUUGGUCAAUGGGCGAGAGCCUGAACCAGCCAAGUCGCGUGAGGGAAGACGGUCCUAUGGAUUGUAAACCUCUUUUGCCGGGGAGCAAAAAGCGGUACGUGUACCGCAUCGAGAGUACCCGGAGAAAAAGCAUCGGCUACCUCCGUGCCAGCAGCCGCGGUAAUACGGAGGAGGCGAGCGUUAUCCGGAUUUCUUGGGUUUAAAGGGUGCGCAGGCGGCGAGUUAAGUCAGCGGUAAAAUUUCGGGGCUCAACCCCGACAAGCCGUUGAAACUGGCUUGCUAGCGUGGGCGAGCAGUCUGCGGAAUGCGUGGUGUAGCGGUGAAAUGCCUCGAUCUCACGCAGAACUCCGCUUGCGAAGGCAGCCUCCCGGCGCCCAACUGCCGCUCAGGCACGAACGCGUGGGUAUCGAACCGGAUUAGAUACCCCUGUCGUC